UUCUUUUAAAUCAUAGUAUUUCAAUCAAAUCUCAGUAGCUGUGCUGAAAUGCAGUAUUAUUGCCAAAUCAUAGUAUUUGUACUGAAACAUAGUAUUUGUGCCAAAUCAUAGUAUUUAUAGCAAAUCAUAGUAUUUGUGCUAAAACAUAGUAUUUCUGCCACAUUAUAGUAUUUGUGUAAAACCAGAAUGUCUGCAAAAUCAUCAUAUAUCUGUUAUGUUAUAGUAUUACUACUAAGGCAUAGUAUUUCUGGAAAAUCAUAGUAUUUCAACUAAAUAAUAGUAUUUCUCCCAAAUCAUAGUAUUUGUUUCAAAUCAUAGCAUCUGAACCAAAUCAUAUUAUUUGUGCCAAAAAUUGUAUUUGUACAAAGUCAUAACAUCUUUUCUAAAUCAUAGUAUUUCAAUCAAAUCUCAGUAGUUGUGCUAAAACGCAGUAUUAUUGCCAAGUCAUACUAUUUCUGCCAAAUCAUAGUAUUUGUACUAAAUCAUAGUACUUGUGCCAAAUUAUAGUAUUUGUACCCAAUCAUAGUAUUUGUGCCAUAUCAUCGCAUUUGUCAGUUCAACUUAUUUAACUCUUCUCAACAGCCAAACACCUCUUCUUCACCCCGUUUCAGCAGAAUUGUGAGUUUUUUCACCCCUUUUCAGCACAAAUCCCAGAUUUUUCAGGUGUUUUCAACAGAAAUCUCUUUUUCAGCAGACAUUGUGCUGAUUCACCUUUUUUCAGUGCAACUACUUCUUUACCUCUUUUCAGUAGAAAUUCUGCUGAUUCACCUAUUUUAAGCAGAAUUUUCAGCCUUUCACCUCUUAUCAGUACAAAUCUCAGUAUCUUCUGCUCAUUUCAGAAGAAACCUUUUCACCUCUUUUCAGCAAAAGUUUCUGUUUUUUCACGUGUAUUUAGCAGAAUUUUUCAGUUUCUUUACUGCCAUACAAUUUUUGCAGCUUUUCAUCUUUUUCAGUCAUUUUCAGCAGACAGCUUCAGCGUUAAGGCAUCCACACAGCAUUUUCGCAGGAAAUGCAAAUUUUUCUAGUUGUGUGGAUGCCCUAAAAGGGCUUCCACACUAUUGUUUUCCUGUUUCUCUUUAUUCUUUAUUCUACUUUAUUCUAGUUGCUUCCGUACGUUUUUUGGCGCUUAACUACUCCCUCAGUUUUCAGCCGAUUUUCUCCAUUCAAACUUUAAAAAAUUCUGCUCUUUCUGCUAAUGUGCGCUAUAUCUUUUGGUAAUCAUAAGUUCUAUACUUUUUGAGAUAUUGAUUUUUUUAUGCAAUAUUUUUUGCCCAUUUCUGCCACAUUAUCAGUCUGGUCACUAGUUUUCCUUGCCCGGUUGCGCUGUGUUUUAGCUCAGUGAGAUGACCAGCUGUUCUCAGACUGGCAGGCCGGGGUUCAAAUCCCGCUUAUGGCAACAUUUCUUUCAGUUAACAGUUAAACUUUUUUAACUCAAUUUCAGCUUUUUCACCCCUUUUCAGCAAAAUUUUCAGUUUUUUCACCACUUUUCAGCACAAAUCCCAGCUUUUUCUGCUGUUUUCAGCAAAAACCUCUUUUCAGCAGAAUUCUAAAAGAGUUCUGCAGAACUCUUUUCAGCAGAAAUUCUGCUGAUUGAACUCUUUUCAGCAGAAUUUUCACCUCUUUUAAGGCCAAAUUCUGCUUAUUCACCUCUUCUGCAAAAUUUUCAGCCUUUUCACCUCUUAUUAGCACAAAUCUCAGCAGUUUUCAGAAAAAACACUUUUGAGCAAAAAAUUCUGCUGAUUCAUGUCUUUUCAGCGCAACUUUCUGCUUCUUUACCUCUUUUCAGCAGAAAUUCUGCUGAUUCACCUCUUUUCUGCAAAAUUUUCAGCCUUUUCUCCUCUUAUCAGCACAAUUCUCAGCAGCUUCUGCUCAUUUCAGCAGAGUUGUCCGUCUCUCCACCUUUUCUUUGUCAGAGUGAAUUUAGCUCAGUAAGAUGAGCAUCUGUUCUCAGACUGGAAGGCCGGGGUUCAAAUCCCGCUUAUGGCAACAUUUCUUUCAGUUAACAGUUAAACUUUUUUAACUCAAUUUCAGCUUUUUCACCCCUUUUCAGCAAAAUUUUCAGUUUUUUCACCACUUUUCAGCGCAAAUCCCAGCUUUUUCUGCUGUUUUCAGCAAAAACCUCUUUUCAGCAGAAUUCUAAAAAGAGUUCUGCAGAACUCUUUUCAGCAGAAAUUCUGCUGAUUGAACUCUUUUCAGCAGAAUUUUCACCUCUUUUAAGGCCAAAUUCUACUUAUUCACCUCUUCUGCAAAAUUUUCAGCCUUUUCACCUCUUAUUAGCACAAGUCUCAGCUGUUUUCAGAAAAAACUCUUUUGAGCAGAAAUUCUGCUGAUUCAUCUCUUUUCAGCGCAACUUUCUGCUUCUUUACCUCUUUUCAGCAGAAAUUCUGCUGAUUCACCUCUUUUCUGCAAAAUUUUCAGCCUUUUCUCCUCUUAUCAGCACAAUUCUCAGCAGCUUCUGCUCAUUUCACCAGAAUGGUCCGUCUCUCCACCUCUUCGUUGUCAGAGUGAGUUUAGCUCAGUGAGAUGAGUGGCUGCCUUGAGACCUGGAGGGCCAGGUUCGAAUCCUGCUCAGGGCAAUAUUUUUUUUUUUCCACCACCAUACAACUUUUUGCAACUUUUCAUCUUUUUCAGUUUUUGAGCAGACAGCUUCAGCAUUAAGGCAUCCACACAGCAUUUUCGCAGGAAAUGCAAAUUUUUCUAGUUCUUUAUUAUUCUUCAAGUUGCUUCCGUAUGUUUUUUGCCGCUUAACUACUCCCUCAGUUUUCAGCCGAUUUUCUCAGUUCAAACUUUAAAAAAUUCUGCUCUUUCUGCUAAUGUUUGCUAUAUCUUUUGGUAAUCAUAACUUCUAUACUUUUUGAGAUAUUGAAUUUUUUUUGCAAUAUUUUUUGCCCAUUUCUGCCAUAUUAUCAGUGGUGUCACUGAUUUUCCUUGCCGGGCUGAGCUGUGUUUUAGCUCAGUGAGAUGAGCAUCAGUUCUCAGACUGGGAGGCCCGGGUUCAAAUCCCACUUAUGGCAACAUUUCUUUCAGUUAACAGUUAAACUUUUUUAACUCAAUUUCAGCUUUUUCACCCCUUUUCAGCAAAAUUUUCAGUUUUUUCAUGAGUUUUCAGCACAAAUCCCAGCUUUUUCAGCUAUUUUCAGCAAAAACAUCUUUUCAGCAGAUUGCACACCUUGUGCUUUUGGGCACUCCAGUGAUGUCUCUUGGUGGCGCUGUCACUUGGUGUUCGCUCGCUUUGUGGUAGAGUAUCACUUCCUGUUCCUGCUCAAACACAGUGGUGUUUCUGAGUAGCUUUUCUGCUUAGCAAUUUAAUUUAAAUCUUUUGAUACAUCCCUUUUUCAUAGUAUAAUCUUAACGUGCUUCAUCUGAAUCACCCUUUCUGUGUACUCACUACCUAAUUUAUAGCCAAAGUAUUCACUCACUGUCUCUUUACUGUUUCGCUAGCUUAGCUUAGCUC
rnacentral:lncRNA from 1 species